rnacentral:lncRNA from 1 species
GAGGUGAGUUGUUGAUUUACAGUUAGAAUUCAAUAUUUCAUUUGGCCCUUGAUCAAAAUACAUGAUUUACAAUUAGAAAUAUGUGUUACUUUCUUAUAAGGCAUUAUGUCUUUGUGGGGAAAACUCAACUAAAUGAAUUCUAAAUUUUAUCCCUAGGUCUUCUGUGUGCAUAUCUGAAGAAAUUCUAUGCAUUGGGUCUAAGCCUUUGUGAACAGACAUGAUUCACGGAGUGACAACUAUUGAAAAUGCAGGCUUAGGUGGAAUUCGUCUUCCAAUUAGUGUGCACAAAUGCAGACCCUUCGUGGGAUGGAGAGAAUUAGAGAAGGUGGGUGUAUAGAAGUCCACAGGAGAAGUGAUGGGGCUACGCAGAGAGCCUUUCAGCCUGAGGGGCGUCCACUGCACAGUAGAAGCGAGUGUGGCACUGCAAAGUAUCGCCCCAACCCAGUGAUCCAGAAGUCGAACUCAGUCAUUCUGCACAAUAAAGAUAACAGCUGCUGGCCUGGGUCCUAUUUCAAAGCUUUCUAACCCAGUCGUAAACAGGCGAGCUUCAGACUCCUCUUCAUUCAGCCACAGUCUGUGCACUUGCUCAGCAGCCACGAUAAACCUCGAGUGGGAGGUGCUCUGAUGGCCAAAUAGAAUAGCUUGUGGUUUCUGACAAAAC